AUAUGCUUUUGUGGAGUGAGGUUAGGUGAUGCAUCAUUUUAUCACUCCACAUAGAAUAAUCUUCACCAUCAAACAUAGGUGGUUUGCCUAAUGGGACGGAAAGUAAUAGAGUGUGUUGGGGGCCUUCGGCUUACGAAGGUCCUCAAAAACAGGAUUUAACAGUAUUCCUGGAGCAUAAUGUGUGAACAGGUACCCUCGGACCCGAGUCGGAAUUGCAGUAGGAGAAGCCUAAUACGAAGGUUGAUACAGCGCCGAAGAUAUGAGCGGGAAAGCUUCGGCGUGCUAGCAGAAAAUGAAACCGACUUAAAGAUGAAAAGGCUAUUUAGACCUCGGUGGAAUACUAUAGAAUUAUUACUAAAUGUAAAGGGCAUGAAUGUAAUUUUGUAUGGGCUGUGUCCCGUGUCUAUAAAUAGGUGAACAGUACCCCCGUACUGUUCACGGGGAUUUGACAUUCUGCUUUUGCGUCACUCCUGUACUUUCAUCUCCUUUCAAGCUAAAAGGUACACUUGUAAUUCGAUCUUAUUACUGUUUCUUCGCAAUAAUAACAAGUUGAUUAUAAUAUAUAAUUAUUCAUGUUAUCCUUCAUAUUUCUUGUGUUUUCAUUCUUCAUCAUUGUAUGUUGUGUUUAUGAAGGUAUGUCCUUCAUAACCUUCGUCCGAAUAUCAUUAUAUCCUAAGGGAAAUAAUGCUUCGAAGGACGAAGGAUUUUAUCGAUUAACAUUUUCUGUGUUGCCUUGUUCUUGACUCAUAGCAUUUAAGAACAAGUCCCCAACGAAAUUGUCAUUGAGGCCAUGAUCAAGGGGCUUCGGCCAGGACCUUCAGCUCAAUACUUCGCUAGGAAGCCUCCUCAAACUUUGGAGAAGCUGCUCCAGAAGAUGGACGAGUACAUUCGGGCCGAUAAUGAUUUUCACCAAAGAAGGGAGGAGGCUUUCAGGUUUUCUGAAAUAACCAGGGGCUUCGGAGGGAGGUUCUACCCGAGGCACGUUAGAUCAAUUCAUAACUCUACCCAAAAUGAUGAUAGGGGGAGCCAACAGCAAAGGCCACAGUGCUCCUCACAGGCUUCGGGGCAACAGCAAGGCUCCUUCCGACCACCAGCUCCGAGAGGCAGAGGCGCCAGGGGCUUCGGCGGAAGAUUUGGCGAUCAACCGAGAAGAAUUUUUUGCUUGUUCUGUGGUGAGAACAAGGGUCAUACCACCAGGAUGUGCCAUGUUACCAUCCAGAAGCAAAAGGAAAUAGCCGAAGCGGCAGCACAACAGGCUCAGCCGAAGCAGGUCAUGCACACUGCUUCGUAUCAUUCGCCUUACAUCCCAGAAUAUGUAGGCAACCACCCUGCAGUUUCUGUUGCUUCGGCGAGCCAACCUCAAGCUUCCUGGCAACAGCCUCCGCCUCCACCACCGAUGCAACAAGGCCAGCAGCCAGAAGGGAGCCAAUAUGCUCCACACCAAAGGGACUUCAGAGAACAGUCCGAAGCUCGCACAGUCAACAGCACUGUGCCAGAGUCAAAGCACAUCUAUUAACAAAUAUCCUACCUUGAUAGAGGUCUUUUUCAUUCAGUUUUAUUUUUUGUGUAAUAAAGGACAUUGUCUAGAUUUCAUGUAAUAGUUUCGUUGUUUGCCACAAGGAAAAUAUAUUUUCUCCACAGGCUUAAGUUGUUGAAGCUUAAAGAUUUGCGAUAACAAAGAGGACCUUCGAAUUAUCAAAAAUUCUUCGAAGCAACAAAAAUUCUUCGAAGCUUAAAGAUUUGCGAUAACAAAGAGGACCUUCUAAGGAACGCAGAGUAAGUUUGCCGAAGUCACAAAAAGCCGCUCCAAAGGGAGCGCAGUGUAAGUUUUCUGCUCCAAAGUCGUUCCAAAGGGAAUGCAGAGCUUACAGCGAAAAGUCAACGCUGAUACUGCCUAAGUAAAAGGCGAAGCGCGAAAAGUCAACGCAAAUACCGCUGAAAGUAAAAGGCGAAGAAGCUCCUAAGGGAGGCUUACAGCGAAAAAUAAACGCUGAUUCCGCUGAAGUAAAAGGCGAAGAAGCUCCUAAGGGAGGCUUAUAGUAAAAAGACAACGCUGAUUCAAAAAGAUUAUGUGUUUUAUCGCAGGAAUGUGUGUGCAUCUUCGGAAUAAACACCAUCUUACAUAACAUAACAUCAUCGCAUCAUUUCGCAUAGCAUAAGCAUCAUACAUCAUGUUGCAUACGACACAAGAAAAAUGUUUUGAAAAAGGGGAAAAUCAUGCUAAGUCGCAAGGAGAUACACUAUUGAUCUUCGGAAGUGUAGCUUCGGAGAAUAUCUUCACGAAGCUUGGAUAUUAUUCAUCAGAACACUAUGGAUAUUGUUGUGACAAAUGAAAAUUCUUCUUCACGAAGCAUGAAAAGAAGGGAAGGUGUUUUUUUCGUCAAAGACUCAAAAACGGUACGUAUGUAAAAUUUCAUGCAUCGUAAAGAAUUAAACAAUAAAAGCAGGUAUAUUACAUUCAGGGCUACAAGAUGUCACACAUAUUACAUUUCAGAAGUUUUUACAAUAGUAUUUAAUCUUCUCUCAGAACAACUUCUGCAGCCUCAUUCAGGAGCCGAUUGACAACUUCGUCCAUAAUAGCUUCAGCCAUCUUUUUAAUUUCGUCAUCUCCUUUCGGGUGAGAGCCCGGGGACGCUUUAGCAGGAUCUGAAGGAGGACAGGAUACGGCUACAUUGCUAUUACAAAUUGCGAACGAAGUUUAGAAUCAAAAAUUACAACACAAUAAAAACCAUUAGUUAAUACCUAGUUGCCCUUCGGGCUCUGCGCUCUUCUCAGCAGCCUCAGCUACUUCUCUAGCGUCGUGAAUGCCCUUCUCGCUUUUCUGGAUAAUUUCUCGAGCCAUUUCUCGACCACCAUUAUCCCAAACAUCGGUGAAAAAUUUUCCACCAACCAUGCUAGCUUCGGCUGAAGGAUCUCUCGCAUCUUCAAAGGACAAGCCAGCUUCGGAUUGCGCUAAAAUCUUUACAUGAUCGCAGCCCUUUUUCUCCAAAAUGGUGGCAAUCCCCCUGGCACCCGAGAAAGCACAUAUGUCUCCGCGGCUAUUUAAAAUUUCCUCGAAGGCCUCAGCUUCGUGAUUAAUCCAUUCGAUGGGACCUUCGGGGUUGCCUCUUGUAAAGUUUUCUUCGCUCGAGAAUGCGCCGACGCUGGCGAAGCUAGCUUUCAACUUCUUAACACACUCCAUAGAUUUGUUAUAGCAUCUUUUCUUGGACGAGCGAAGCUCUUCAACAGUUCCCUCUAAAUGAUUUGCCCAUUGGUCGCUGAGUUCUCGCUUCGUUUCUUCAAGUAUGCGUUCCUCUUUGGCUCUGGCCAGUUGUUUCCGAAGAUCUUCAAUUUCACGCUUCUGAGCCUCAGCUUGACCUUUAAACGUAGCUUCGUCUUCUUUUAUUCUAUUUAUCAAUGAAUGUAAUAUUUUAUCUUUUUCGAGACCUUCGUUCCGCAGUUCAAUUACUUCGGAACGAAGGUUGCUCAGGGCUAUAGCGCACCCUUCGUCUUCGGCAUCUUUUUGGGCCCUGAGGGCAUUACUAAGUAUAAGGCCCUGCAAGGAGGAAUGUGUGUGCGUCAAUAGGUUUAAACAAACAAAAAAAUUUUGGUCUCAAGAAAAAGUGCAAAGAUCUUAUUUUUUAUACCUUUAAGCUAUUGUAUGCCAGGCUGUCGGCCAGAUCGUUUUUCGACAGCACCGAGAGCCCGUCUUCUAGUGUUGGGAAUCCGAAGCUCUUGCUCAUCUCCCGACGGACAGAAAUCUCCUUGCUGUCAGGGAGACAAUACAAAAAGUCUUCUUCUCCACUGCCAUUGAAUAUUAACGCCCCCUUUGGAUACUUCAGUUUUUGGGCGUAAAGCUGGGCCUCUUGCUUUUCUUUUUCUGAUAAUUUUUUCCCCGAAGCAUGUCGAACAAUAUAAUCAAGGACUUUGGGGGAUGCUUCGGGGGCAAUAGCACUGACUUCUUCAACAAGAAUUUGCUCUGUUAUUUUUUCUUCCUCGGUUUCCAAGGAUUUUACCUUCGUGGGCUCUGAGGGUCCAGCUUCAGCUUCAAUUUCUUGCUCUGGAGCCUUUGAAUCAGAAAUUUCAGUUUUCGCUUCGGGAAUGGCAACAGUCUUCUUCGGAGGUGUGCUUGAGGAUUUAAUUGUUUCCAGAACAUCUAGCACAUUGACCAUUCUCUUUCUUUUCGGAGUCACCGCUGGCAACUUUUGAUUUUUUAUUGUCUCAACAUUUGCUGAAGGACUUAAAACUUCUGAUAUUUUUGAUCCCUCAGCUGGUCCUUUUAUUUCUUCCAUAUCUUUUGUCGAUGGCGCUUCGGCCAUCUCUUUGGUUUCUGGUAGCAAAAUCUUUGGUUUUUCCAAUUCUGUCCUUGUUGGCGCUUCGGCCAUUUCUGCGACUUCUGGCAGCAAGGUUGGCUUGGUUGGUUUUUCAGCUUCGGUGGCCGAAGGAGUCUCUCCAGUGAACUCAGGCACCGAGGCUGGUUCAAUAUAGCGUGGCCGAUGUGUGAGGACCUUUAUCCUUUUUCUUUUCGGUUCUGGCUCGCUAGGAGCAGUUGCAGCUUCUUCUUUCGCAGAGGUUGCGUUUUUUCUUUUCUGCCCUCGAAUGGGAUAACGGUAGUCAGGGUAGGCAAACCCGAUUGCGUCAAACACCCGGUUCAGCCUUUUCUUUUUUCGGCCUCCGAAGGCUGCUGACAAUGCAGUAUCUUCAGCCUUCGAGUAAACCCCAAGCAGCUCAUCACUUAAAUUUUCAAUGCUUUUUAGCCAGUUAUCAUCUGGCUCAACGAAUUUAUCUCCAAAUUUGAAAGUAUACUUCAGCCUGAUAAGGCCACCUUCGUCAGCCUCCUUUAUGGUCUCUUGCGGCAUUUCCCAUUUCUCCGCAAGCGGCCAUACUCUGAAGGCAAUAUGCUCUUGUACCAAAUCUCUCGUUCCAAUAAAAGAGCAGAUAACACCGAAGGCUCUCUGGCAUUCCUCGGCAGCUUCGUUCAUUUCAAUCUUCGGUCUCCGCAGGCCGAAGCUUUGCCAAAUAGGGCGCAUAAUUAUACCUUUGAUAUCUUCCCGUACUGUCAGGUCAUUCUUCACAUAAAACCAUUCUGUCAUCCAGUCGCCGGGCCAACUUUUCCGAAAGGUUGGCACGGGACAGCUUGACCCAGACCGAGAGACGAAACUGUAGUAGCCAAAAUUAUUGUGAUACUGUUCCUUCCCCCAAGGCUUUGUUUCGUAUAAUAACUCGUGUAUGUUACAGAAACUUUUUGCAUCAGGCUCCAGACCUUGGCUUCUCACGGCCCACACGAAGAUAUUUAGCCUUAUGAUUGCUUCGGGGGUAAGUUGGUGAAGAUAUACUUCGAACAUUUUCAGCACCUCUACGACAAAGCUGCUCAGCGGAAAUCGUAGUCCAGCUUUCAAAAAGCUUCGGAACACUACGACUUCGUUUUCUUCAGGAGUCGGGCAAGUUUUCUCUCCUUCGUCGAUCCUCACAAUGGAUAAAUCCCGGAAGUAUCUUCCCCUCAUGUUGACAAGAUGAUUUUCUUUGAUACCUGAUUUCCCAAAAACUGAAUGGCUUGGUCGCCAGGGGCGAUCUUCGGAGUCUUCACCACCACUAUCCACAUCAUAACUGUCGCUGUCAUCAGUAUCUUCAGACAAACCUUCUAAAAUCUCUUUCGUAAUUUUUUCUGUGUUGGUCUUCGACAUUGCUAUCAGGAACCCCAGGUUCUUCUCUUCAUCGAGACUCAGCUUCAUCUCGGCAGCAGCCUUCUUAUCUUCAGACAUCUUCGGAAGCACUAAAAAACUGUUUUCAAUGCCGAAGCUUCAAAACUUAAAAGCUAAGCAAAUCUUGGUGCGCAGGAGCUAAAAAUUGAGUGAGCGGGAGCAGAUGGCAAGAGAGCGUGCCAAAUAAGCUUGCGGUAUGAUCUUAUUUAUACGCCCAGUGCGUUGAAAAUUGAAAGACCCCGUCUGUCAGUGAAUGUUGCUAUUUUAGCAAAGGGAAUGUGUUUUUUCGGACCUUCGGCUUAAAGCCUUCGUCCAUGUCGCAAUCUAAAUUUAUUAUUUUAAAAUAAAUUAAUAUUGCGAGGGGCUACUGUUGGGGGCCUUCGGCUUACGAAGGUCCUCAAAAACAGGAUUUAACAGUAUUCCUGGAGCAUAAUGUGUGAACAGGUACCCUCGGACCC
rnacentral:lncRNA from 1 species